rnacentral:rRNA from 1 species
CAGCAGCCGCUGUAAUACGUAGGUCCCGAGCGUUGUCCGGAUUUAUUGGGCGUAAAGCGAGCGCAGGCGGUUAGAUAAGUCUGAAGUUAAAGGCUGUGGCUUAACCAUAGUACGCUUUGGAAACUGUUUAACUUGAGUGCAGAAGGGGAGAGUGGAAUUCCAUGUGUAGCGGUGAAAUGCGUAGAUAUAUGGAGGAACACCGGUGGCGAAAGCGGCUCUCUGGUCUGUAACUGACGCUGAGGCUCGAAAGCGUGGGGAGCAAACAGGAUUAGAUACCCCUGUAGUCCCUGUCUCUUAUACA